GCCGAGAUUUUAUUUAUUUUUGUCUCAGCUGGGCUUUUAAUUAUUAAAUCUAAUGGACCUUUAUUAAUUUAUUUAAUUGGACUGUGCAGUUUCUUUAUUUAAAAUGGACUACACUAUUUUAAUUAAUUAGACUAAUUAAGUUUGAUUAAUUAUUUUUAAUUUGCAUAAUAAUAUUAUAUUAUUAUUAUGUGCAUAUUUUAAGUAAAUUACUUAUUAUAUGAUAAACAUGAUAUGAUUUGCAUUAUAUUUUGCAAUAGAAAUAUUUAUGAUCUAAUUGGUUUUAUUUAUAAUUCCAAUUAUUAAAGAAAGAUGAGUAAGAAUAUUGUUGGUGUUCUUAACUCAAGAAAAAUAUUUUCAAUUAUUUAUUCAUUGAAUUUUGAAAACCCGGCUAAGUGAAUCAUAGAAUAUUAAGCACUACACCAUGACUUAAGAUUAGCUUCACGAGACCUAUUAAGAAUAGAAUUUCUUGUAGGCUUUGUGACCAGGGGGAUUAGCGCUGCUUUCCCAAGACAGGUUUUUAUGUGUAUGAUCUUCAGGCUUUGCCUAUCCAGGUUGGCUGGCCGGUGCUGACGGGACGGAGCUGAGGCUAGAGUUAAAUUCCUAUGUUAGACUUCCGCUGUAGCAAUUUCUCAUAUCAGUCUUUUGUUUUCCCAACUUAAGAUCUUCAUGUUAAAUUUCAAAUGAUAUACCUGACCGAGCUUAGACUCUUCACUACUAAAUUUAUGCCAAUGAAUGUCGGUUGUCAGAAGCAUGAAACAAAACUUGUGAUCCAAAGGGGCAUAGCCCGACUUUCUAUCCUAUUUCGGGUUUUUACAA